rnacentral:rRNA from 1 species
GCCAGCAACCAUAUCACCCUGCAACUCACAACUGGCACCCCACUGAAACUAAGCAAGCAAACUAAGUGUGAGCCUGGUCAGUACUUGGAUGGGAGACCUCCUGGGAAAAACUAAGGUUGCUGCUGGAA